UCAGCCGCUUGUGAACCCCUGGAUACUGAGCCCCUAGUGAAACCCUUGCAUAUUCAGCCCCUAAUGAAACCUCUGCAUACUCAGCCCCUAGUGAAACCCCUGUCAUACUCAGCCCCUAGUGAAACCCCUGCAUAUUCAGCCCCUAGUGAAGCCCUUGCAUACUCAACCCUAAUGAAACCUCUGCAUACUCAGCCCCUAGUGAAACCCCUGUCAUACUCAGCCCCUAGUGAAACCCCUGCAUACUCAGCCCCUUGUGAAACCCUGCAUACUCAGCCCCUAAUGAAACCCCUGCAUACUCAGCCCCUAAUGAAACCCCUGCAUACUCAGCCCCUAAUGAAACCCCCUGCAUACUCAGCCCCUUGUGAAACCCCUGCAUACUCAGCCCCUAGUGAAACCCUUGCAUAUUCCAGCCCCUAGUGAAACCCCUGCAUACUCAGCCCCUAGUGAACCCCUGCAUACUCAGCCCCUAGUGAAACCCCUGUCAUACUCAGCCCCUAGUGAAACCCCUGCAUAUUCAGCCCCUAGUGAAGCCUUGCAUACUCAACCCUAAUGGAACCUCUGCAUACUCAGCCCCUAGUGGAACCCCUGUUCAUACUCAGCCCCUAGUGAACCCCUGCAUACUCAGCCCYURKYGAANNCCYUGCAUACUSAGCCCCUAAUGAAACCCCUGCAUACUSAGCCCCUANGUGAAACCCYKKCAUACUCAGNCCCUAGUGAAAAGCCUGCAUACUGAGCCCAUAAUGAAACCCCUGCAUACUCAGCCCCUAGUGACCCCCUGCAUACUCAGCCCCUAAUGAAACCCCUGCAUACUCAGCCCCUAGUGAAACCCCUGCAUAAUCAGCCCAUAAUGAAACCCCUGCAUACUCAGCCCCUAGUGAAACCCGUGCAUACUCAGCCCCAAAUGAAACCUCUGCAUACUCAGCCCCUAGUGAAACCCCUGCAUACUCAGCCCUAAUGAAACCUCUGCAUACUCAGCCCCUAGUAAAACCCUGCAUACUGAGCCCCUAAUUAAACCCUUGCAUACUAAGAUUCUAGCGAAAAACCUGCAUACUGAGCCCCUAGUGAAAUCCCUGCAUAUUCAGCCCCUAGCGAAACCCUUGCAUACUGAGCCCCUAAUGAAACCCCUGCAUACUGAGCCACUAGU
rnacentral:sRNA from 1 species